AGUGGAGUAGCCUCACUUCUAGUGCGGCCAUGGUUUCUCUGUACUUCAUUCUUGCUGUCUGGAAGUCGUUUUGUCGUCCUGGAUACAGAUUGGUCUUGCCGUUUGUUUACCUUCUCUUAGGACCGUGCGGUGUGAACGCUGGCCAUGUGCCUCGCCGUCCUGAGAAAAGAUCCAGGCGGUGGCUGUCUGUCCAGGGCCAGAUCGCCUCACUCGCACCUUCCUGCAUCUGAUUGCUGUAGUCUUCGUGUCCUCUUGUCACAGCCCCGUGGUGUCUUCGCUCUAACCGUUUUAUUCCUGCAGUGCUCUUGCCUUCAGUAGCCCUAAACUUAGAUGCAGUGCAUUUCGGCAGCUUUGGGCACACAGUGCCGUGACAGAAGAGUCCAGUGAAUCAUUAAAUGGCUAGAAACCCUUCCACUGUAGACAGCUGUGCUUGGAGCCUGCCAAAGUUUCCUCCCUGUGAGAGGACACACAGUGUAUCCUGAAGAGUGGUCCUUCCCGAGUGAGAGCUGAGGACAAGUCAGCCGUCUGAGGAACCCCCUUCUCCUGUCUGGAGCACGAGUGACUCUCAGUGAUGAUUUAUAAAUACUUUUUUUCCUGCAGGUCCCCAAAGGUGGCGUAACGGAGAUCUCUGCAGCUGACAAGGCUGAGGAAUUUCGAAGACAACAGGCUGACUUUGUGGACCUGAGCUUCCCGACGAUUUCCAGCACGGGACCCAACG
rnacentral:lncRNA from 1 species